rnacentral:lncRNA from 12 species
GAUGGAGCUGGACAACUUCUGGAAGCACCUCCAAGAAGUGGAGCGACAUCUAGACCAGCUGGUGCAGGCAGAUACGCAGCAGCAUGGGCAGCUAGCUGAGCUGAGCCGUGAGCUGGGAGGUCUCAACCGAACCGCCUCCCACCUCCAAACCCUCCUCAGCACUGUAGCAUCAGCUGGAUUCAGCGGUAAGAGCAAUGAGCAAGGUUUGGGUUUGGCGGCAGCCGUCCUGGCCAAACCCUGACACCCGCACCCGCAGAGUCUUACCGCAGCAUCCUGGCAUCGCUGGAGGCCUCACGGCAGGCGGAGGUGGUGGCCAAUGGCACAGCUGGUGAGCUGCGUAGGGCGCAGAUGACACAGCGGGAGACUGAGCGGCUGCUGCGGCAGCGGGGCAACACCUUCCGCCGUGGCACAGCUGCAGCCCGGAAAUCCUUGCGGGAGGCACAGAAACGGGUGAUGGGACUCAACAUUACCAGGAUCAAUGAGAAGAUUUGUGGGGCACCCGGAGACUGGAGCUGUGAGCACGCAUCUUGUGGAGGAGCCUUGUGCCGUGACAGUGCAGGGAAAAGGCAUUGCGGUGGCACUGGUUGUGCAGGGGCACUGCCUAUAUCAGCUCGAGCCCUGACCAGUGCCCAAAAUGCCUCACAGCAGCUGGAGGUGGCAUUAGGGCAGCUGGGUGUUGUGGCACAGAAGGUAGGGAUGGUUGCUCCAUGGCACUUUCUGGAGUCCACCUGUGUCGCCUUUGCAUGUCCUGUUUGUGCCCUUUCCAUGCGACCUUGAGUGACUCCCUUCCAUGUCCUGUUUUUUCCUUUUCCAUGCCUCCAAGCAUGUCAGUUCUGUACAUGUCUCUUAUGCCCAUUCAGAGAUGCCCUUUGUGCCACCGGGGUGUAUGCCCCCUUAGGCCACUGCUGUACCCUCUGCCCCCUUGCACCCCCCUUGCAUGCUCCUUUGCAGGCUCACAUCUUGUCCCCUCGUACCCCCUGCUCACCCCAAAUGCCCCCUCCUGCGGCUGCCCCGUGCCCCCUGCUCAGCCAGGUGCCCCUCAGAUGCAGGAGGUGCAGGAGCUGGCACGGGGGGCGCGCAGCCGGGCAGAGGAAGCGCUGGGGCGCUCCCAGGCUGCCCGCAGCCGUGCAGAGAAGGCAACGGCCCAGCUGCGGGACUUCAUCCGCCGAAUCAAGGCCUUCCUGGCAGGUAGGGCCAGCCCCGGGUGGGCAUAUGGGCAUGGCAGGGCUCAGAGAGACCACCCUGAGCCCACUCUACUCCCUUGUCCCUGCAGAGGAGGGAGCUGACCCAGGCAGCAUCGAGCUGGUGGCUCGGCAGGUGCUGAACAUCUCCCUGCCCAGCAGCCCUGAACAGAUCCAGCAGCUGCUGUGGGAGAUGCGGGAGAGCAUCAGCCAGCUAGAGGGGGUGGAUGCAGUGCUCAACAGCACAGCAGAGGGGCUGGCUGUGGCACGGGAUCUGCUGGCACAGGGACAGGAGGCCAGGGAGCGAGCAGAAGGCAUAAGGGAUGAGCUGGUGGGGACACAGCAGGCACUGGAGGUGGCACGAACACAGGCAAUGACAGCAAGGAGCACCCUGCAGAGCGCCAGGGAUGCCAUCCAGGUGGCUGAGAACAGAGCCAAGGAGGCGGAGCGCAGUCUGCGGGUGCUGGACAGGAAGGAGUCGCAGGCGCAGAGGCGGCUGCAGGAACUGGCACAGCUCAUCACCACCCUGCAGGAGAGCAGCCAGGAUGCUCGCCACAUGGCCCAGCAGGCCAAGGACGGGGCACAGCGUGCCACCACCACCUCGGGGAUGCUUAGCCAGGACCUGGCACAGGUAACACAGCGUUAUGUGGUGCUGAAGAACCGGGUGGGCUUGCUGGACAGGGUGUCUGGUGGGGCCCUGCAGCGUGUGUCGCAGCUGAUGGCAGAGGCCCAAGACCUCCUGGAUAAGGCCAGCAACAGCAAGAGGAAGCUGGAAGGUGAGGUGGAGCACGUGGUGGGGUACAUUUCCUGCCACCUCCCCAUACAUCUCCUUGUAUCCCCCUGGGCCCGUCCCACCGGGUGUUCCGAUGGGAUUACGGGUGGGAGGCUGCACUGUGACCAUAUUGCCCGUCCCACAGAUCUGGAGCAGCGUUUUGGGGCCAAUGAACGGACGAUGGCGGCUAAAGUGACACGACUGCAGGCUUUGGAGCAGCAGGUCACUGGGCUGUUGCAGGAGAUCCGGGAGAGAGCCAACGCUUACGCCACCUGCUAGGGACCACUGGCGGGACCGGGGGCCGUUCGUGUCUCGCAGCCCCGCAGCUCCACAAACCCGGGAGUCCCGUCCGUUCUGCAGGUGUCUUUAGCGCGGGCACCCCUGCAAAUAAAGCCCUAAACUGUGUGUGCCUGUGUCCGAUGACUUCUGCCCAGCCAGCUCCUGCCUCCUCC